GGGCGCUUGGUCUAGGGGUAGUAAGUUAUUCUAUAUCGCACAAUUCCUCACACUCUCUAACAGUAAACUCAGUGAUUUUCGUUUCGCAUGUCCCUUCUUGGGCUUGAUUAUGAAAGGUCCGGGGUUCAAUUCCCCGAGCGUCCA